UCUUACGCUCUCGAUAAAGUUGUAAUUUUAUAUCCUACUAAAUAGUUAGCUAAAGAGAAUGUAUUCAUUUUCGGCUGUAACGCCCCAAAUCCAAAAACUCGCGUGAGAAAUGAACCUUUACAUUACGUAACUCGGACAUGUUUUCACGACCGGUCGCACGUCUACUGUGGACUAAUUAAUUCUAGGGCGGGAACCGGACAUCUCAUAUUUAAUUGUUCCCGCGCGGCCCGUUCGGAUUGGGAAAAAAAGAUAAUUGUUUCUAUUAUCUCCAGGAUCGAAGGAAUCUGAUAAUCGAUAAAGUAAAGUGAACUGCCACGCUGCUGUUUAGAAUAUCAAACAUAUAAUUUGAUUCUUCAACCACUGUCAAAGAGUGAUUUACAUCCAAAUUAUAGAUAUAAAAUUACCUAAACAAUUCAAAUACAUUUUUGCAACUUACUAACCCAACUUUUUAGUUUACAACUUUUAAACUU